GAUGAACGCUGGCGGCGUGCCUAAUACAUGCAAGUAGAACGCUGAAGCUUGGUGCUUGCACCGAGCGGAUGAGUUGCGAACGGGUGAGUAACGCGUAGGUAACCUGCCUCUUAGCGGGGGAUAACUAUUGGAAACGAUAGCUAAUACCGCAUAAAAGACGAUAUCGCAUGAUAUUGAUUUGAAAGGUGCAAUUGCAUCACUAAGAGAUGGACCUGCGUUGUAUUAGCUAGUUGGUGAGGUAACGGCUCACCAAGGCAACGAUACAUAGCCGACCUGAGAGGGUGAUCGGCCACACUGGGACUGAGACACGGCCCAGACUCCUACGGGAGGCAGCAGUAGGGAAUCUUCGGCAAUGGGGGCAACCCUGACCGAGCAACGCCGCGUGAGUGAAGAAGGUUUUCGGAUCGUAAAGCUCUGUUGUAAGAGAAGAACGAGUGUGAGAGUGGAAAGUUCACACUGUGACGGUAACUUACCAGAAAGGGACGGCUAACUACGUGCCAGCAGCCGCGGUAAUACGUAGGUCCCGAGCGUUAUCCGGAUUUAUUGGGCGUAAAGCGAGCGCAGGCGGUUAGAUAAGUCUGAAGUUAAAGGCUGUGGCUUAACCAUAGUACGCUUUGGAAACUGUUUAACUUGAGUGCAGAAGGGGAGAGUGGAAUUCCAUGUGUAGCGGUGAAAUGCGUAGAUAUAUGGAGGAACACCGGUGGCGAAAGCGGCUCUCUGGUCUGUAACUGACGCUGAGGCUCGAAAGCGUGGGGAGCAAACAGG
rnacentral:rRNA from 1 species